AGAGAGGGCGAAUUUGAUUGGGGAAAGUAAUGGUAGUAGAGAAUGUGUCAUACAGGAAGCUGCAGGCUAUUUCUACUGUGCCUACUGAGGAUUUGGGGUUCAAUGACUCCGAUCAGAAGAGAAAUAAUGGUGGGAAUUCAGCCAAUAUAGUGACACUGCCUCCAAUUAUGGAGGGCAAAGGCAUUGUAAAUGAUUUGGGACUACAGUUCAUGUAGUUCCAAUAAAAAUGUAUGCUCAUCUCUCAAAACUAUUUGUUUCAGGGUUUGUACGUGUGUGACUGGAGAACUGAACUAAAGUGUAGCUGUUUUUUUUUUUUUUAUUCUUA
rnacentral:misc_RNA from 1 species